UACGUAGGGUGCGAGCGUUAAUCGGAAUUACUGGGCGUAAAGCGUGCGCAGGCGGUUGUGCAAGACAGGUGUGAAAUCCCCGGGCUUAACCUGGGAACUGCACUUGUGACUGCACGACUUGAGUACGGCAGAGGGGGAUGGAAUUCCGCGUGUAGCAGUGAAAUGCGUAGAUAUGCGGAGGAACACCGGUGGCGAAGGCGGCAUCCUGGACCAAUAUUGACGCUGAGGAGCGAAAGCCAGGGGAGCAAACGGG
rnacentral:rRNA from 1 species